rnacentral:rRNA from 1 species
GAUGAACGCUGGCGGCGUGCCUAAUACAUGCAAGUCGAGCGAACAGAUGAGGAGCUUGCUCCUCUGACGUUAGCGGCGGACGGGUGAGUAACACGUGGAUAACCUACCUAUAAGACUGGGAUAACUUCGGGAAACCGGAGCUAAUACCGGAUAAUACAUUGAACCGCAUGGUUCAAUAGUGAAAGACGGUUUUGCUGUCACUUAUAGAUGGAUCCGCGCCGCAUUAGCUAGUUGGUAAGGUAACGGCUUACCAAGGCAACGAUGCGUAGCCGACCUGAGAGAGUGAUCGGCCACACUGGAACUGAGACACGGUCCAGACUCCUACGGGAGGCAGCAGUAGGGAAUCUUCCGCAACGGGCGAAAGCCUGACGGAGCAACGCCGCGUGAGUGAUGAAGGUCUUCGGAUCGUAAACCUCUGUUAUUAGGGAAGAACAAAUGUGUAAGUAACUAUGCACGUCUUGACGGUACCUAAUCAGAAAGCCACGGCUAACUACGUG